UACGGAAGGGGCAAGCGUUGUUCGGAAUCAUUGGGCGUAAAGGGCGCGUAGGUGGUUCUGUAUGUCUACCGUGAAAGCGUACGGCUCAACCGUAUUUUGUCGGUGGAAACUGCAGGACUUGAGGCUGGGAGGGGCUGGUGGAAUUCCCUGUGUAGCGGUGAAAUGGCGUAGAGAUGGGGGAGAACACUCGUGGCGAAGGUGGCCAGCUAGACCAGUUCUGACACUGAGGCGCGACAGCGUGGGGAGCAAACAGG
rnacentral:rRNA from 1 species